GUAGGUGAACCUGCGGAGGGAUCAUUAUUGAAACUUCAUCCGGGGCGCCGCGGCACUCAGCACCGGUGGAAACGCCGUGUUGCGAGGGCCGUGCGUGCACUCGUCCAAACCAAACCCCUGUGAACUUUUCGGGAGGGUCUGGGUUAACGCCUGGGCCGUUCCGCUUAUACAAACACUUUUUUUAAAAGAACGAACUGAAGGCGGUCUGACCGCUGGAUAACAAACUGAAGCAACUUUCAACAACGGAUCUCUUGGCUCUG
rnacentral:misc_RNA from 1 species